CAUAGUUCGGGCCAUACACAUGACCCGAGUUCACAUGAACGAACCAAGUCCACACAACUGACCCAAACCAAGUUCAACAAGCGGUAUCCGCCAAAAGCUCCUCACAAACUCGUUCUUGUGCCACACUUGGGUUCAUACCACAUGAGCAAGAACACUUAGGUUCGUCACAGAGAAAUUGGAAUAUUAAUCUUGUUCGCUUGUGGAAUGGAAAAGAGCGAUUGAAAGGUGGAAGAACCUACCUGAAGAGUCUGACGCGAUGGUUCAGGUGGGGCGUCCAUUGUUCUUCGAUCGUCGUGCUCCGCUGUCGAUGAUUCAUACGCGUUUAAUCACAUUGAUGUUAUCGAUCCUUUGAUUCGCACAUUCGAUUAUGAAGAUUCACACUUCAUACACCGUGUUGCCUACUGAGAUGGCGACGACACCUUCGGAUCCACACCUUGAAUAAUUAAAUCUCCUUUUUACUCUUCCAGUGAAUCAAACGUGACGACGGUGAAGGUCAUCAAUCCCCUUUUCCGAUUUUCUGCUACCGGUUACUCGAGGAUGGUUGUUCAAUUCCAGAUCGAACCAUGGAGAAUGAUGAAGAUUCACUUUAUUUCACUUUCUUCGAUGCCGAUUUAUCGUUGAUGGUGAAGAGCAAAACUUGAUUCACGCCUUCUUGAUUGAAGUUGAAGACGAAGAUUCGUUCGGACUUGUGCGUUGAGAUGCGUCGUCGACCCUUCACCGAAGGUGAGGUUUUGUGUGCGUUUCUUGAAGAUGGAUUUGAGGGGAGCAGAAUGGAGGGUUGUGAAGUUACAGGUUUUGAUUGCGAAGAGUGGAGUGGUGUAGAAGUGGUGAGGAUGGCAGUUGUGAUUGUGAAGGUUGUGGAGUUGAAGAGUGGAGUUGUGUUAGGGAUUGAAGAGUUCUUUUUCUGAAUUUUGCAGGUUGUGUUAGAGAAUAAGAAUUGGUUGAAUGGUGAUGGAGGUUACGAUUGGAGAUGUUGAAGUGUUGAAGAUGGAGAAGUAUGGUUGAAGGUUGAUGAAGGGUUCUGUUAACUGUGAUGGAGAGUGAAUGGUGAGGAAGAUGGCUAGUGCUUGAGAAAGUGAGAGAGGUUGAAGAAUUUGUGAAUGGAGGACGACGAAGGGUGAAUGAAGUUAGAAGUUUGAGACGAUGAAGUUGUGAAUUGUUGAAUGAUGGUGAAGAUGAUGGAGAGCUUGAAUUGAAGAUGGAGGAUGGUUCUUAUAGGAGAGUAAGGUUAGAGAGAUGGUUGGUUAUGACAGUUGGAAGUAGUUAGAGUUUGUUGAAUUCUGUUAGAGUUUGGGUUGAGUUUGUUUUGACAGUUAGAUUUCUGUUAUAAAGUUAGUUUGCAAUUUUUCCCUGAUUCUGUUAUGUGCUACUUUCUUUUAUGCAUGUUUUGUUAGAAGGUUGUUGAAGCGGCUUAGUUGAAGUCAGUUGUGUGAAAACAGUUAGGGUGGUUAGGAUUGAAGGAUUCAGUUAUUCUAUUAUAUGAGUUUUGGUUAUGAUGAAUCAAUUAGGAGUUGGAGGAUGAUGUCAGGUGAAGAUGAGGCCUUGAUUUCAUCACAGGUUUUUAUGGAAGUUGGGAAGCGGAAAAACCGGAUUCUGUUAGAGGCCUUUUUUAAGGUUAAAAGGUUCCUUCUCCAUUUCUGUUGAAGGUUGUCGGUUCAAUGAAGAGCCACCCCUUUUCGUUUUUUGCAGGAUGUAUUAGAAGGAGUCUUGUUGACCGUUAGAAGUUUGUUGGAGAUUUCAAUUCCGUCGGCCGUUGAUGACAGUUGGCGACAGUUGGAAUCAGUUAGGCGGUUAGGACGGUUGAAGAGGUUGGUUAGAAUUCUGUUUUGGAUUCUGAACCGAAUUCUAUUAGGAGGUUAUGGUUCUGUUUUGUUAUAUGGAGGAAUCUGGUUCAGGUACAUGUUGUGUGACAUUGAGAGAACAUCGGUAGCGUGAUCUUCAUUUCCCACACUUUAUUAAGUUUCCGUAUAGACUCAUCAUCACAAAGAAACACGGAUAACUCAACACUUUGAAACCCCACCAACAUCGCCUAUAGCAGUAUCUCUAGUUUUAUAUUCUGAGUCUUUCAAAACAUUAAAUGCCGGUUUUAUUGCAAUUGGAAGCAACUCUGCAAUAUUCAAGAUUUCAGGAUCAUCUGGAAAAUCUUCUUGGAGACGGAGGGAUCUUAAGAAACCUUGAAUGCUUCGGUUUCUUCUUAAACGGUUUUAGAGGUCUCGACUUCAGCGGGUUUCUCAAGUCUCAAUUUUGCAGGUGAGUUCGUUAGAGACUUCUACAGCGUAACAACAGGGGAAUCUGGCGGUAACUUAAUACACGGUGGAUUGGAAUGUUUUGGAUUGGCUUGUGAUGUUCGCUGUUGGAUUUUUCCCGCAUUAUAUGUCAGUUAUACGCAUAGCAUGGUUUGAAGUGGUGUUAACUUGCAAUGUCGGACAAUUGACCAGAGCAUUCAAUAAUGGUUUGUACUUGAAGAAGCAAUCAUCACAGGUCCAAAGUGGAAGAAAGGGGGCUUGUAUGAGAGUAAAAUAGGGAUUCAUGGUUAUAGUUGGAAUUAGGUUUAUUAUUGUAAUGAAAGAAUAGAAAUUGAAUGUGAUUGUUAUGAAUUUGAAAUGUUUUGUAAAUUUGAAUGGUAAAGGUAUGGAAGAUGAAAUGGUUGUAAUGGUUUAUUGGAAAUGAACAUGAAAUUGUGAA